rnacentral:ncRNA from 1 species
AUUAUACUGCCACCGGGCAGAGGAUGCAGGCGCAUUCGUUACACAUCGUUAGGUCUUUGAAGAUGUGUAUACGGGCGCUUAUUUUUUU